rnacentral:tRNA from 1 species
UCCUUCUUAGCUCAGUUGGUAGAGCGCGUCACUAGUAUUUACUAGUAUUGAGAACUCUAUUGGAUGUCUAUGACGAGGUCAGUCGUUCGAGUCGGCUAGAAGGAA